rnacentral:rRNA from 1 species
UGGGGAAUUUUGGACAAUGGGCGAAAGCCUGAUCCAGCAAUGCCGCGUGUGUGAAGAAGGCCUUCGGGUUGUAAAGCACUUUUGUCCGGAAAGAAAUCCUUGGCUCUAAUACAGUCGGGGGAUGACGGUACCGGAAGAAUAAGCACCGGCUAACUACGUGCCAGCAGCCGCGGUAAUACGUAGGGUGCAAGCGUUAAUCGGAAUUACUGGGCGUAAAGCGUGCGCAGGCGGUUUGCUAAGACCGAUGUGAAAUCCCCGGGCUCAACCUGGGAACUGCAUUGGUGACUGGCAGGCUAGAGUAUGGCAGAGGGGGGUAGAAUUCCACGUGUAGCAGUGAAAUGCGUAGAGAUGUGGAGGAAUACCGAUGGCGAAGGCAGCCCCCUGGGCCAAAUACUGACGCUCAUGCACGAAAAGCGUGGGGAGCAAAACAGGAUUAGAUACCCUGGUAGUCCACGCCCUAAAACGAUGUCAACUAGUUGUUGGGGAUUCAUUUCCUUAGUAACGUAGCUAAACGCGUGAAGUUGACCGCCUGUGGAGUACGGUCGCAAGAUUAAAAACUUAAAAGGAAUUGACGGGGGUCAUAGCUGUUUCC